rnacentral:rRNA from 1 species
UACAGAGGGGGCAAGCGUUGUUCGGAAUUACUGGGCGUAAAGGGCUCGUAGGCGGCUAAGCAAGUCGGGCGUGAAAUCCCACCGCUCAACGGUGGAAGUGCACCCGAAACUGCAUAGCUAGAGUCCUGGAGAGGAAGGUGGAAUGCUUGGUGUAGAGGUGAAAUUCGUAGAUAUCAAGCAGAACACCUGCGGCGAAGGCGGCCUUCUGGACGAUGACUGACGCUGAGACGCGAAAGCGUGGGGAGCAAACAGG